GCCCGGAUGGUGGAAUCGGUAGACACAAGGGAUUUAAAAUCCCUCGGCGUUCGCGCUGUGCGAGUUCAAGUCUCGCUCCGGGUACCA
rnacentral:tRNA from 20 species